rnacentral:rRNA from 1 species
AGAGUGAACGCUGGCGGCAGGCCUAAUACAUGCAAGUCGAACGGCAGCACGGCAGAGCUUGCUCUGUGGGUGGCGAGUGGCGGACGGGUGAGGAAUACAUGGGAAUCUGCCCAGUCGUGGGGGAUAACGUAGGGAAACUUACGCUAAUACCGCAUGCGCCCUUCGGGGGAAAGCCGGGGACCUUCGGGCCUGGCGCGAUUGGAUGAGCCCAUGUCGGAUUAGCUAGUUGGCGGGGUAACGGCCACCGAAGGCGACGAUCCGUAGCUGGUCUGAGAGGAUGGAUCGGCCACACUGGAACUGACGACACGGUCCAGACUCCGUACGGGAGGCAGCAGUAGGGAAUAUUGGACAAUGGGCGCAAGCCGUAGAUCCAGCCAUGGCCGCGUGAGUAGGAAGAAGGUCCUUCGGGUUAGUAAACGUCGUUAC